AGAGGCCUACCAUGGUGGUAACGGGUAACGGGGUGUUAGGGCACGACACCGGAGAGGGAGCCUGAGAAACGGCUACCACAUCCAAGGAUGGCAGCAGGCGCGCAAAUUACCCAAUCCCGACACGGGGAGGUAGUGACAAUAAAUAACAAUACGGGGUUCUUUAGGAUCUCGUAAUUGGAAUGAGUACAAUUUAAAUCUCUUAACGAGGAACAAUUGGAGGGCAAGUCUGGUGCCAGCAGCCGCGGUAAUUCCAGCUCCAAUAGCGUAUAUUAAAGUUGUUGCAGUUAAAAAGCUCGUAGUUGAAUUUCGGGGUUAGUAGGUUGGUCAUGCCUCUGGUAUGUACUGGUCUCACUGAUUCCUCCUUCCUUAUGAACCGUAAUGCCAUUAAUUUGGUGUUGCGGGGAAUUUGGACUGUUACUUUGAAAAAAUUAGAGUGUUUAAAGCAAGCUAACGCUUGAAUACAUUAGCAUGGAAUAAUGAAAUAGGACGUUCGAUCUUAUUUUGUUGGUUUCCAGGAUUGACGUAAUGAUUAAUAGGGAUAGUUGGGGCAUUAGUAUUCAAUUGUCAGAGGUGAAAUUCUUGGAUUUAUUGAAGACUAACUACUGCGAAAGCAUUUGCCAAGGAUGUUUUCAUUAAUCAAGAACGAAAGUUAGGGGAUCGAAGACGAUCAGAUACCGUCGUAGUCUUAACCAUAAACUAUGCCGACUAGGGAUCGGAUGA
rnacentral:rRNA from 1 species